rnacentral:lncRNA from 1 species
ACUCAAUCUGCUGGAGGAGAGAGACUGGCUGAUAGAGCAGCUGCAGGCGUCUGUGAAGUCCCAGGAGGCUCUAAUAGACCAGCUGAGAUACAGUGGUGCUGGCCAGGGUAGCGGAGACCAGCCAUCAGCUGACCCUGACCGCCAGCUGUCAUCUCUCAUUGCUCAGAGAGAGAUGGACCUGCAGGCUCUGGAACAGGAUCCUGUCAGAGAGAAGAGGAAAUAUGACAGACACCUGAAGGUGGAAUGAGACACAAAACCCAAUAUUCAUGAUCAAAUCAAGCAUCAAAUUCCAUAUUGGCCAAAUCAAAAACAGAAGUCAUCAUAUUCAUACACUGAAUGACCAAAAGUCCACUCUUCUGGGAAGGCUUACCACUAGAUGUUGGAAAAUUUCUGCGAGUCUUGCUUCCAUUCAGCUACCAGAGCAUUAGUGAGGUCGGGCACAGAUGUUGGGUGAUUAGCCUGGUUUGCAGACGGCAUUCCAAUUAAUCCCAAAGUUGUUCAAUGGGGUUGAGGUCAGGGCUCUGUGCAGGCCAGUCAAGUUCUUCC